AGUGAACGCUGGCGGUAGGCCUAACACAUGCAAGUCGAACGGCAGCACAGUAAGAGCUUGCUCUUACGGGUGGCGAGUGGCGGACGGGUGAGGAAUACAUCGGAAUCUACUUUUUCGUGGGGGAUAACGUAGGGAAACUUACGCUAAUACCGCAUAUGACCUACGGGUGAAAGCAGGGGAUCUUCGGACCUUGCGCGAUUGAAUGAGCCGAUGUCGGAUUAGCUAGUUGGCGGGGUAAAGGCCCACCAAGGCGACGAUCCGUAGCUGGUCGGAGAGGAUGAUCAGCCACACUGGAACUGGGACACGGUCCAGACUCCUGCGGGAGGCAGCAGUGGGGAAUGUUGGACAAUGGGCGCAAGCCUGAUCCAGCCAUACCGCGUGGGUGAAGAAGGCCUUCGGGUUGGAAAGCCGUUUUGUUGGGAAAGAAAAGCAGCAGGUUAAUACCCCGCUGUUCUGACGGUACCCAAAGAAUAAGCACCGGCUAACUUCGUG
rnacentral:rRNA from 1 species